rnacentral:rRNA from 1 species
CAGGACGAACGCUGGCGGCGUGCCUAACACAUGCAAGUCGAACGGAGUAAAGAAUUCGGUUUUUACUUAGUGGCGAACGGGUGAGUAGCGCAUGAACAACCUGCCUUUCUGAGGGGGAUAACACCUGGAAACAAGUGCUAAUACCGCAUAAGACCACAGAGCCGCAUGGCCCAGGGGUCAAAGGAGCAAUCCGCAGGAAGAGGGGUUCGCGUCCCAUUAGCUAGUUGGCGGGGCAACGGCCCACCAAGGCGACGAUGGGUAGCCGAGCUGAGAGGCUGAUCGGCCACACUGGAACUGAGACACGGUCCAGACUCCUACGGGAGGCAGCAGUGGGGAAUAUUGGGCAAUGGGCGCAAGCCUGAACCCCAGCAACGCCGCGUGAGGGAAGAAGGUCUUCGGAUUGUAAACCUCUGUCCUAUGUGACGAAGGAAGUGACGGUAGCAUAGGAGGAAGCCCCGGCUAACUACGUGCCAGCCGCCGC